GCAUUAAAGGAUGUGUCUUUUUGGCUACUGCUCUGCUGGAGCUGAAACUUUCCCAAAACUCACAGCUAAGCAGUUCAGUGUGUGUUGCGUGGGACAGCUACAGAAUUCCAAUUACUGCAACAGAGAUGGUGUUGAACUUUGCCUGAACUGGUGGGAGCACUCUUUCUGCACAGCCUGAACUGAAGCGGUAAUAGAAGCCAAUAUCCUGAAUCCCAGGCUUGUGACCAGCCACUAAACCAGUACCCAAAGGACAGGAGUGCUCCAAGCAGCAGUAGCGAAUGUCAUCUCCCAGUAAACCUGCCCAGAGGAAAAUGGAAAAGUACACUCAAAGAUAGCGAUUGCCUAACUCACAGUGCAAAGCCUCAAUGACACAACUCCACAUUUUUAUUUUGCACUUAAGAUUGUCUCUAAUAUUUCCAGUUGAUAGGUAAAUGCUGCCUUUUGUAACAAGCUCUCCUGAAGCCUUACUUGAUCAUCAUUGAUUACAAGGUAAAUCUCAUAAUCAGAGACUCUUCUAAAUGCUGAAGGAUUGCUGGGGUUCAGAAGGGUCUAUCUCGCUUUAUAUGUGACUCAAUUUCAAAUGAAGUUCAAUAUUCUUCAUAAAUAUCCUAAAACUUAUUCCUGUCAGUGGAUAAAACUUUUCUGAAGAAGAAGGUAUAUUUUUGUUGUUAUAGAAUUUAAAGAAGAACAUGAACUUAGAAGGGUUUCAGUCCCCUUUUGAGAGGGAAUUUCUUUAGAAAUUAUGGAAAAUAGACUUUCUUGAAAAUACAUUUCUAUACAAAAGGAAAUUCAAUGUGAGAAUAAAGAAAGAGAACAUUUUCCCAGAGCUGCAAAUCACUGGGGGCUGCCUUCCAGGAGAAGAAACUUGAUGUUCCCACUGGGAGCUGACCCCACAUAUGACUCUCGGCAGGACCAAGCAUGACCACCAACAGAUACACGGUCAGAGCCAAACACAAGCCUGCAGGGGAAUGCGAUGCGAUGAGCAGCUGCCACUGCUGAAAACUUUCUUUGUAGACCCUGACACCUGGCUUCCUUCACUGCAAAGCCUGACCUCCUCCUCCAGGUCGCCACGGGAGACGCAUCAGUGUGGCAGGCGCUGCAGCGUGGAGGCAUUGCGUGAGAACCGGGAAGAGAACCUGACUGCAAGCCAGCUCUGCGCAAAUGUGAAACAAAUGUCAGCCUUUCAAUAG
rnacentral:lncRNA from 1 species